AUUGAACGCUUGCGGCAGGCCUAACACAUGCAAGUCGAACGAAUGGCGGACGGGUGAGUAAUGUCUGGGAACCUGCCUGCUGGAUGGGGCUAACUACUGGAAACUGUAUCUAAUACCGCAUACCAUCGGAUGUGCCCAGAUGGGAUUAUCUAUUAGGUGGGGUAAAGGCUCACCUAGGCGAAGAUCCCUAGCUGGUCUGAGAGGAUGACCAGCAACACGGGAACUGAGACACGGUCCAGACUCCUACGGGAGGCAGCAGUGGGGAAGAUUGCACAAUGGGCGCAAGCCUGAUGCAGCCAUGACGCGGGUAUGAAGAAGGCCUUCGGGUUGUAAAGUACGUUCAGCGGGGAGGCGUUACCCGAAGAAGAAGCACCUGCUAACUCCGUGCCAGCAGCCGCGGUAAUAC
rnacentral:rRNA from 1 species